rnacentral:misc_RNA from 1 species
GAUGAAGAACGCAGUGAAAUGCGAUAAGUAAUGUGAAUUGCAGAAUUCAGUGAAUCAUCGAAUCUUUGAACGCACAUUGCGCCCUAUGGUAUUCCGUAGGGCAUGCCUGUUCGAGCGUCAUUACACACCUCAAGCUCUGCUUGGUAUUGGGCGUCGUCCCCUAAACGGGACGUGCCUCAAAGACCUCGGCGGUGGCGUCUUUGCCUCAAGCGUAGUAAUCUUUUUAUCUCGCUUUGGAGUCGAAGGCGUCGCCCGCCGGACGAAACCUUUAUUUUUCUAUCAAGGUUGACCUCGGAUCAGGUAGGGAUACCCGCUGAACUUAAGCAUACCAAUAAGCGGAGGA